rnacentral:rRNA from 1 species
UACGAAGGGGGCUAGCGUUGCUCGGAAUUAAUGGGCGUAAAGGGCGCGUAGGCGGACAGUUAAGUUGGGGGUGAAAGCCCGGGGCUCAACCUCGGAAUUGCCUUCAAUACUGGCUGUCUUGAGUGUGAGAGAGGUGUGUGGAACUCCGAGUGUAGAGGUGAAAUUCGUAGAUAUUCGGAAGAACACCAGUGGCGAAGGCGACACACUGGCUCACUACUGACGCUGAGGCGCGAAAGCGUGGGGAGCAAACAGG